rnacentral:rRNA from 1 species
UACGAAGGUCCCGAGCGUUGUUCGGAUUUACUGGGCGUAAAGCGUCUGUAGGCGGCGCGGCAAGUCAGAUGUGAAAGCCCGGGGCUCAACCCCGGAACUGCAUCCGAUACUGCCGUGCUUGAGGAUCGGAGGGGAGUCUGGAAUUCACGGUGUAGCAGUGAAAUGCGUAGAUAUCGUGAGGAACACUAGUGGCGAAGGCGAGACUCUGGACGAUUCCUGACGCUGAGAGACGAAGGCCAGGGGAGCGAAAAGG